rfam:Triticum aestivum genome assembly, contig: Triticum_aestivum_CS42_TGACv1_scaffold_094350_2AL
CAAGUACUCCCUCCGUCCCAAAAUAAGUGACUCAACUUUGUACUAGCUUUAGUACAAAGUUAGUACAAAGUUGAGUCACUUAUUUUGGGACGGAGGGAGUAUAAU